UACGUAGGGUGCGAGCGUUAAUCGGAAUUACUGGGCGUAAAGCGUGCGCAGGCGGUUCGUUGUGUCGGUGGUGAAAGCCCCGGGCUUAACCUGGGAAUGGCCAUGGAAACUGGCGAACUGGAGUGUGGCAGAGGGGGGUGGAAUUCCGCGGUGUAGCAGUGAAAUGCGUAGAGAUGCGGAGGAACACCGAUGGCGAAGGCAGCCCCCUGGGCCGACAUUGACGCGCUCAGGCACGAAAGCGUGGGGAGCAA
rnacentral:rRNA from 1 species